AAUAAGUUUUAUUUUGGCUUAAUAAUAAAUUCAUUAUAAGUUUAUUUUACAUGUAAAUUUUUGUGUGAAUUUAUAAUAUUUCUUAAAGAUAAUUAUAUUUUGAAUAUUCGCAGUGAUUAAUAUUAUAUAUUAAAGAAAUUUAGAUUUAAUAAUUCUUUAUAAUGUAGGCUAAUUUUGUGCCAGCAGCUGCGGUUAUACUAAAUACAUAAAUGAAUUUUUUUAGUUUUAGUUAAACUGAUAAAUUUUAAUAAUUUAAAGAAUUUUAGGUGAAAUUUUAUUUUUUUUUAUUAAUAUUUUUGAUUUGUUGAAGCUAAUAAAUUUUUAUUAUAAACUAGGAUUAGAUACCCUAUUAUUAAAAAUUAAUUUUUUUUUGCUUGGGUAGUAGUAGUUAAAUUCUUGAAACUCAAAAAAUUUGGCGGUAUUUUAGUCUAUUCAGAGGAACCUGUAACGUAAUUGAUAAUCCACGUUGGACCUUACUUAAUUUUGUUUUCAAUUUGUAUAUCGCCGUUAUUAAAAAUUUUAUAAGAAAAAUAAUUUUUAAAGAUUUUUAUAAAAAAAUAAAUCAGGUCAAGGUGCAGUUUAUAGUUAAGUGUUAUAUGGGUUACAAUAAAUUUAUUUAUAUGGAUUAGUAUUUGAAAUAAAAUUAUGAAAGUGGAUUUGAUAGUAAUUUUUAAUAGAUUAUAAAAUUGAUUAUAGCUCUAAAAUAUGCACACAUCGCCCGUCACUUUUACUAUUAAUGUAAGAUAAGUCGUAACAUAGUAGAUGUACCGGAAGGUGUAUCUAGAAAGAC
rnacentral:ncRNA from 1 species